rnacentral:rRNA from 1 species
UACGUAGGGGGCGAGCGUUAUCCGGAUUCACUGGGUGUAAAGGGAGCGUAGACGGCCAUGCAAGCCAGGGGUGAAAGCCCGGGGCCCAACCCCGGGACUGCCCUUGGAACUGCAUGGCUGGAGUGCGGGAGGGGCAGGCGGAAUUCCUGGUGUAGCGGUGAAAUGCGUAGAUAUUAGGAGGAACACCAGUGGCGAAGGCGACUUUCUGGACAGUAACUGACGUUGAGGCACGAAAGUGUGGGGAGCAAACAGG